rnacentral:rRNA from 1 species
UCAAGUUAUUAAGGGUGCAGGGCGGAUGCCUUGGCACUAGGAGCCGAUGAAGGACGUGAUAAGCUGCGAUAAGCUUCGGGGAGUUGCACGUAAACUUUGAUCCGAAGAUUUCCGAAUGAGGAAACUCACUUAGAGUAAUGUCUAAGUAUCGUUAAGUGAAUACAUAGCUUAGCGAGGGGAACCCGGGGAACUGAAACAUCUAAGUACCCGGAGGAAGAGAAAGAAAUUCGAUUCCGUAAGUAGCGGCGAGCGAACGCGGAACAGGCCAAACCAAUGAAGUUUACUUCGUUGGGGUUGCGGACAUACAACAUGGAUGCAAUAUCGUAAAUGAAGAGAGUUGGAAAGCUCCGCCAUAGAAGGUAAUAGCCCUGUAGUUGAAACGAGAAAGCUACUAGUAUGAUCCAGAGUACCACGGGACACGUGAAACCCUGUGGGAAGCAGGAGGGACCAUCCUCCAAGCCUAAAUACUACCUAGUGACCGAUAGCGCAUAGUACCGUGAGGGAAAGGUGAAAAGAACCCCGGGAGGGGAGUGAAAUAGAACCUGAAACCCUGCACUUACAAGCUGUGGGAGCACAUUACUUGUGUGACCGCGUACUUUUUGUAGAACGGGCCAACGAGUUACGUUAAGUAGCAAGGUUAAGCACUUAAGGUGUGGAGCCGUAGCGAAAGCGAGUCUUAAAUGGGCGAUUAAGUUACUUGGCGUAGACCCGAAACCGGGCGACCUAUCCAUGAGCAGGUUGAAGCGAAAGUAAAAUUUCGUGGAGGACCGAACCCACGAGCGUUGAAAAGCUCGGGGAUGACUUGUGGAUAGCGGUGAAAUUCCAAUCGAGCCCGGAGAUAGCUGGUUCUCCCCGAAAUAGCUUUAGGGCUAGCCUCAAGCGUAGAGAAACGGAGGUAGAGCACUGAAUGUCCUAGGGGGUAUUGCACUUACCGAAGACUAUCAAACUCCGAAUGCCGUUUUCUUUUACUUGGGAGUCAGACUGUGGGUGAUAAGAUUCAUAGUCAAAAGGGCAACAGCCCAGAUCGUCAGCUAAGGUCCCUAAAUGUACGUUAAGUGGUAAAGGAUGUGGGAUUGCACAGACAACCAGGAUGUUGGCUUAGAAGCAGCCACUCAUUUAAAGAGUGCGUAAUAGCUCACUGGUCGAGUGAUCCUGCGCCGAAAAUUUCCGGGGCUAAAACGUACUACCGAAGCUACGGCAUCAUUUAUGAUGGGUAGGGGAGCUUCGUAUGCAGGCUGAAGCAUGACCGUAAGGACAUGUGGACAGUAUACGAGUGAGAAUGUUGGCAUGAGUAGCGAGACGUGGGUGAGAAUCCCACGGGCCGUAAACCCAAGGUUUCCAGGGGAAGGUUCGUCCGCCCUGGGUUAGUCGGGACCUAAGCCGAGGCCGAAAGGCGUAGGUGAUGGACAACAGGUUGAUAUUCCUGUACCGCCAAUAAGCGUUUGAGAGAUGGAGUGACACAGUAGGAUAAGCUAACCGUACUGUUGGUUAUGUACGGCUAAGCAUUGAGGCAGUCUAAAUAGGCAAAUCCGUUUAGACAAUGCUAGGAUGUGAUGGGGAAGCCCUUCGGGGCGAAGUAGCUGAUUUCACACUGUCAAGAAAAGCUUCUAUCGAGUUUAAAGGCGCCCGUACCGUAAACCGACACAGGUGGGUGAGGAGAGUAUCCUAAGGCCAGCGAGAGAACUAUUGUUAAGGAACUCGGCAAAAUGACCCCGUAACUUAGGGAGAAGGGGUGCCUGUCUAUGACAGGCCGCAGAGAAUAGGCCCAAGCGACUGUUUACCAAAAACACAGGUUUCUGCUAAGUCGCAAGACGAUGUAUAGGAGCUGACGCCUGCCCGGUGCUGGAAGGUUAAGGGGAUCUGUUAGAGCAAUCGAAGCAGUGAACUUAAGCCCCAGUAAACGGCGGCCGUAACUAUAACGGUCCUAAGGUAGCGAAAUUCCUUGUCGGGUAAGUUCCGACCCGC